GACGGAGGAUGCAAGCGUUAUCCGGAAUUAUUGGGCGUAAAGCGUCCGCAGGUGGCUGUUCAAGUCUGCUGUCAAAGCGCAGAGCUUAACUCUGUAAAGGCGGUGGAAACUGUAGGUCUUGAGUAUGGUAGGGGUAGAGGGAAUUCCCGGUGUAGCGGUGAAAUGCGUAGAUAUCGGGAAGAACACCAGUGGCGAAAGCGCUCUACUGGGCCAUAACUGACACUGAGGGACGAAAGCUAGGGGAGCGAAAGGG
rnacentral:rRNA from 1 species